rnacentral:rRNA from 1 species
GACGAACGCUGGCGGCGCGCCUAACACAUGCAAGUCGAACGGUGAACGGGGCUUCGGCCCCGGGAUCAGUGGCGAACGGGUGCGUAACACGUGGGCAACCUGCCCCAGACCCUGGGAUAACCCCGGGAAACCGGAGCUAAUACCGGAUACUCCGACCGAACCGCAUGGCUCGGCCGGGAAAGGUCCGCCGGUCUGGGAUGGGCCCGCGGCCUAUCAGCUUGUUGGUGGGGUGAUGGCCCACCAAGGCGACGACGGGUAGCUGGUCUGAGAGGACGACCAGCCACACUGGGACUGAGAUACGGCCCAGACUCCUACGGGAGGCAGCAGUGGGGAAUCUUGCACAAUGGGCGAAAGCCUGAUGCAGCGACGCCGCGUGAGGGAUGAAGGCCCUCGGGUUGUAAACCUCUUUCGGCAGGGACGAAGCGAUCGUGACGGUACCUGCAGAAGAAGCCUCGGCUAACUACGUGCCAGCAGCCGCAGUAACAC